rnacentral:lncRNA from 1 species
CUGGGAUUUGAGAACGUUUGCAGAGUGAGGUUUCCGGAGUGAGUUGGGGCUUGAGGCAGGUAGAGCCUCCCAUCCUGGUCCCUGGAUUCUGUUGGGUUUUGGUUUGGUUCCUGUAGGACUACUUCAAGCUGGCUGGAGAAGGGACUUUUUCUGAUUUCUUACCCCCCAGAUUCUUCCACAAAACGAAUUGGCUCCAGCCAGUCUGGAGUUGCCUGUCUUCUUGUUUUUUAGAUGAGAGGGAAGCAGAGCAUAAUGAACUGAUGCAACAGGCAAGAUCCCUGGUCUUCAGAAGGAAAUAGUCUCCUCUCCUGCUGACUUUGUGAGGCAAAGCAGAUCAGAAAGGGUGAAAAUUCUUUCACCAGAGAUGGGCAAACUGAGACCGCAAGCCCUGGAGAUGUGCUCAGGCAGAUGUGCAGGUCCCCUGCUCCAGCUUCCAGGCUCCCAGCUUCAGUCUUCAGUCGGCCUUUGUUCUGCCGCUUUCUCCUGGAAGUCACACCGCCCUCUCUUCCUGCCUGCCACAUCGCAGGAGUCUGCACGCACCCAACCGGCUCAAGAGGCUCUGACAGCCAGGAAUGUCUGGAAGUCAACACUCCAGCUGCUGAAAUCCAGAACUCAGAAAAGAUGCACAUAAAUAGACUUUGGUUGCAGCAUGAAAUAUUGGGUUAGACAUCAAGGGGGACUUCCUAGUCAAUGAGGUUGUGUAGGCAGAGGAAGAAAUGGAGGAAAAUCAUUAAAUCUUCUACUCUGUGGGAAAGGUGGUUUUGUGGGAGGCACUCCAGUGCCUUUGGGUGAAACCUUGCGCCACGUUCCUGGAGGCCUGGGUGGCGGCAAUGAAAGGAUGAAGUCAAUGCAGCCCUGUUGGAAGGCUACUGGGGACAAUGCAGCACCGCUCUCCCAUUUUACAACUGCAGAAACUGAGGCAGGAUCCUGCAACAAAUGUUUACAGAAGGCCCGUGCAUGCCAGCCUUAUUCUGAGUUCUGAG